GUGCUAUUGGAGCAGCCGAUGUCAGAUUAGCUAGUUGGUGGGGUAAAAGCCUACCAAGGCGACGAUCUGUAACUGGUCUGAGAGGACGACCAGUCACACUGGGACUGAGACACGGCCCAG
rnacentral:rRNA from 1 species